rnacentral:rRNA from 1 species
UACAGAGGGUGCAAGCGUUAAUCGGAAUUACUGGGCGUAAAGCGUGCGCAGGCGGUGAUGUAAGACAGAUGUGAAAUCCCCGGGCUCAACCUGGGAACUGCAUUUGUGACUGCAUCGCUGGAGUGCGGCAGAGGGGGAUGGAAUUCCGCGUGUAGCAGUGAAAUGCGUAGAUAUCGGAAGGAACAUCAGUGGCGAAAGCGACUUCCUGGACCAAUACUGACGCUCAUGUGCGAAAGCGUGGGGAGCAAACAGG